rnacentral:rRNA from 1 species
CCCUUAGAUGUCCUGGGCCGCACGCGUGCUACACUGACGCAUACAGCGAGCAUUUUCCAGUUCCGAGAGGCUACUGGUAAUCAUCAAUAUGCGUCGUGAUGGGGAUAGAUCUUUGGAAUUCUGGAUCUUGAACGAGGAAUGCCUAGUAAUCGCAGGUCAUUAGCCUGCGAUGAUUAAGUCCCUGCCCUUUGUACACACCGCCCGUCGCUACUACCGAUUUCGAGUGGUCAGGUGAAUCUUUCGGACUGUGGGCGCCCUUGAGGUGUUCGCGGAAAGUCAGGUAAAUCUUAUCACUUAGAGGAAGUAAAAGUCGUAACA